rfam:Toxocara canis scaffold105, whole genome shotgun sequence.
AUGGCAGUAGCUCAGUGGUAGGGCUCCCGCUUCGUACUCGGGAAGAGCUGGGUUCAAUUCCCGGCUGCUUUC